UUGUAAGUCAUAUGCUUGUCUCAAAGAUUAAGCCAUGCAAGUCUAAGUUUAAGCACAUAAACGGCGAAACUGCGAAUGGCUCAUUAAAUCAGUUAUCGUAUAUUUGAUAGUACCUACUACAUGGAUAACCGUGGUAAUUCUAGAGCUAAUACAUGCUUAAAACCCCGACUUCGGAAGGGGUGUAUUUAUUAGAUUAAAAACCAAUGCCCUUCGGGGCUCACUGGUGAUUCAUAAUAACUUCUCGAAUCGCAUGGCCUUGUGCCGGCGAUGGUUCAUUCAAAUUUCUGCCCUAUCAACUUUCGACGGCUGGGUAUUGGCCAGCCGUGGUUACAACGGGUAACGGAGGGUUAGGGCUUGACCCCGGAGAAGGAGCCUGAGAAACGGCUACUACAUCCAAGGAAGGCAGCAGGCGCGCAAAUUACCCAAUCCCGAUACGGGGAGGUAGUGACAAUAAAUACUGAUACAGGGCUCUUUUGGGUCUUGUAAUUGGAAUGAGUACAAUUUAAAUCCCUUAACGAGGAACAAUUGGANNNNNNNNNNNNNNNNNNNNNUUUGGNGGCCUUUNGCUCCAAUCGCGUAUAUUAAAGUUGUUGCAGUUAAAAAGCUCGUAGUUGAACCUUGGGCCUGGCUGGCCGGUCUGCCUCACCGCAUGCACUGGUCCGGCCGGGCCUUUCCCUCUGGGGAUCCGCAUGCUAUUCAUUUAGUGUGUCGGGGAACCAGGACUUUUACUGUGAAAAAAUUAGAGUGUUCAAAGCAGGCCUAUGCUCGAAUACAUUAGCAUGGAAUAAUAGAAUAGGACGUGUGGUUCUAUUUUGUUGGUUUCUAGGACCGCCGUAAUGAUUAAUAGGGACAGUCGGGGGCAUCAGUAUUCCAACGUCAGAGGUGAAAUUCUUGGAUCGUUGGAAGACUAACUACUGCGAAAGCAUUUGCCAAGGAUGUUUUCAUUAAUCAGGAACGAAAGUUAGGGGAUCGAAAACGAUCAGAUACCGUUGUAGUCUUAACCAUAAACUAUGCCGACUAGGGAUCGGACGAUGUUAUUUUUUGACUCGUUCGGCACCUUACACGAAAGUAAAGUUUUUGGGUUCU
rnacentral:rRNA from 1 species